rnacentral:rRNA from 1 species
AUUGAACGCUGGCGGCAUGCCUUACACAUGCAAGUCGAACGGCAGCACGGGUGCUUGCACCUGGUGGCGAGUGGCGAACGGGUGAGUAAUACAUCGGAACGUACCUUAUCGUGGGGGAUAACGCAGCGAAAGCUGUGCUAAUACCGCAUACGCCCUGAGGGGGAAAGCGGGGGAUCGCAAGACCUCGCGCGAUUAGAGCGGCCGAUGCCUGAUUAGCUAGUUGGUGGGGUAAAAGCCCACCAAGGCGACGAUCAGUAGCUGGUCUGGGAGGACGCUCAGCCACACUGGGACUGAGACACGGCCCAGACUCCUACGGGAGGCAGCAGUGGGGAAUUUUGGACAAUGGGGGCAACCCUGAUCCAGCAAUGCCGCGUGAGUGAAGAAGGCCUUCGGGUUGUAAAGCUCUUUUGUCAGGGAAGAAACACCGGCUCUAACACAGUCCGGGAAUGACGGUACCUGAAGAAUAAGCACCGGCUAACUACGUGCCAGCAGCCGCAGUAA